GGCGCUGGAGAGGCGGGGAGGGCGCCGGGCCGCGCAUGCUCAGAGAGGGACACCAAGCGCUCACUCCGGAGUGCAGGCAGAGGGAGGAGAGCGAGCCGGGGGGUGAGGCGAGCGAGACUGCGCUCACCGGAGCGGCAGGGGGCUCGGCGGGGUUCGCGGAAGGCAGCUGGGAAACCGAACGGCAAAGGUGCGCCCUGCGCGGGGACUCCCUGGCGCCCGCGGUGCGGGAAGCCGGUGGCGGGAUCCCGACCCAUCUUGGGAGACCGCAUCAGCGGCGAGUCCGCGGAAUGCCGGGCUCUCCCCGCCGUGUAUUUUUAGCGCUUGCGCUGGGGUUUCUGUGGACCUCUCUCUUGCCUCUGCGCUGUGGGGGUGACCGUGAUGCGUCUCCCCAGAGGUCCAGGAGGACCCAUGGGCAGCAAGUCGCACCUGAACUAAAGUCAGUUUCCUGGUCUCUGCUUCUUUCUUCCUCUCCCAACUUCCACUCUGUGAAGGGCGGAAAAAGGCAACCGUCCACUCGAGUCCCAAAACAGAAGACAAGACAUCCCAAGCAGGGAACUCCCGGUAAAGAUAUUCCUUCCUCCUGUUGAUUCACUUAUGGUCCCUCCAGAAAAGGACUACCUUUUGGUCACCCCAUCUUUGGAGGGAUAGAAGACAGCUUACUCUGUGCAAAUCUUUUCCAAGCUUUCAGUGAAGACCACCUCUGAGCACUUCUACUAUGCAGUGCAAGUGAGCAGAUGCAUCCUUGCUGAACUCUGACCCCCAUCCCAUUCAUCUUCCGGAUAAUAAUGCCGAGUGACACUGGACAGCAGGACAAUUAGAUCAAGCCCCAGCACACACCCGGAGGAGAGACAACAGCGUGUCUAAAUACCACCAACAAAAGCAAAGUUUAGGAGAUAGAAAAAGGAAGGAAGGAAAAAAUUAAGAGAACAGGAAAGUUCUUAAACAGCAGGUGCCCUGAGUGUAGCAGCUGGUUUCCUUCUCUCAGUAGCUCCUUGACAGGAGUAGAAUUGCAGCAUCUCUUUGCUUAAAGGACAGUGAGUCUGAGUCUUUAACCACCAGGUAGGGGAGACUAGGUUCUCCCGAAAAGCAGCAAAGCCUCUUUAGUGAACCACUCACAAUAUUUGGGGCUCCUACUUCCACAUCUGUUUUUCUCAGGCUUCCCCUGGGCACCAGGCUUCUUGGAAGCCAUUCAAGACAGAUCUGCCUUGUUACCACAUACCCCUCAGAACAGUGAAUAGCCUUCCCUGGAAUCUCAGGGUGUUAGCAUUGGCAGGGCCUUGAGGCAGGAGAGCCAUUCUCGCUGCCCUGACGCUGAAUAAUCACAAGGUAAGUGAGGAUUCUAAAUCCAGAAGUGAGUGGGACCUGGAACAGAGAGGUGGGGCUGGGAUAGGUGCUGGUCUCAACUCUGCAGCUCUAUCAGUAGAGAUGGGGCUGAGGCACUUCCUUCUACCAUGGCAAGUCUCCAGGGCUGCCUGGCCAAGAGGUACACUCUCCUUUGUCUGAGCCUGGCCUUGGGUGAGGAGGAAAGGAACACCACUCCCCUGGAUGCUCAGGGACACCCUAUUCACCAUCUCAAAGCUCCAACAAGGUGAAGGAUGAAGGAAACUUUAUAAAUUUGGAAUUGCAAAUAAAGUGGAAUCCCUUUAUGGUACUGCUACGAGAGAAUGAACUCGCAGUUCUGGAAGAGAUUUUUAGUGUUUGGGGAAAGUGGAGGAAGCCCAGGGGACGUUGAAUGAGAUGAUGUACAUAAAACAUUCAACACAGUGCCUCGCGCUUAGCAGGCUCUCCGUAACUUGUAGCCAUUAUUCUUUCGGUUAUUAACAUUUUCAUUAUUAUGAUUUUUUUAAAAGGCUGAAUGUUCUUUUUUUCCCUAAGCUUAAACAAAUAAAACAGAUGAUAGCCAAA
ensembl:lncRNA